GUUCGACUCAAUUAAAGAAUUACUGGCGUCAUCUUAAAAGAAACGAAAUGAAGCUAACGAGAACGUCAAAGAAAAGGCCGGGUGAAAGCGUAAAAAAUGGGGCUUCGUUUGAUAAUACUGAAUACUGUGGCGGUCGCCACGGUGGUUAUGUAGAUCCGAAUGUAAUCAGUCAGCAUCCACUCGACAUCAUUUCCGAACCAUUCAGUGUAAAUAAUAGGACAUCUGCGCAUGAUUUAAGACUGGCAUUGUUAAAUGCUAAGAUCAAUGCUAUCGUGAAUGAACAUAAACUUAAAAUGGAGAUUCUGCGACAACAAGUCAUCGAAAGAUAAUAAAACCCCAUUACGAAAUCCAACGAAAUUCUAGAGUGGCAUACCUAAAACGUAUUGAAAACAAAACACAUUUUGUCAUACUGGCAUGGUUAAUAUGUUGUUUUUAUAUAUAUAUACGACAUAAUCUUUUCGAUUUUAAAUUUCUGAUACCGUAAUGUGUAUAAUAAAGAUUUCAUUUGAAAGUA